AUUGAACGCUGGCGGCAUGCUUUACACAUGCAAGUCGAACGGCAGCGCGGGCUUCGGCCUGGCGGCGAGUGGCGAACGGGUGAGUAAUACAUCGGAACGUGCCCAGUAGUGGGGGAUAGCUCGGCGAAAGCCGGAUUAAUACCGCAUACGACCUGAGGGUGAAAGCGGGGGAUCUUCGGACCUCGCGCUAUUGGAGCGGCCGAUGGCAGAUUAGCUAGUUGGUGGGGUAAAGGCCUACCAAGGCGACGAUCUAUAGCUGGUCUGAGAGGACGACCAGCCACACUGGGACUGAGACACGGCCCAGACUCCUACGGGAGGCAGCAGUGGGGAAUUUUGGACAAUGGGCGAAAGCCUGAUCCAGCAAUGCCGCGUGUGUGAUGAAGGCCUUCGGGUUGUAAAGCACUUUUGGCGGGAACGAAAAGGACUGUGCCAAUACCACGGUUCGAUGACGGUACCCGCAGAAUAAGCACCGGCUAACUACGUG
rnacentral:rRNA from 1 species